GGCACGGGAUCCCCGGAACUGAUGUUACAAGGGGUUGCGAGCGUGGGUGCUGAGAAUAGGAGCUGGGUUUUUGGGAAGAGCUGCCAGUCCUUCAGCCUUAUGGUGAUGUUGUUUGGAUAUCUCCACAGGUGACACUUUGUACUGUCUGGAGACGUUUGAUGCUGUCACAACUGGCGGAGGGGACCAGCGUUACUGCUGUUAACUGGAAUGUGACAACACAAAGAACAGCCUCUCAACCCCACAGAAUUACCUUGUUCAAAGCAUCACUUCUGAGCUUCAGAAGCUUUAGUCGAAGCGUGGACCAGGUCUUCACGGCUGUGGGUCCGGGCUCAGUCCCAUAAGAUGGAAGGCUAGCAAGUGGCAGAGAAGUCAGAAGGAAACAAUACAGAGUCAGUGGGCUCUGGGACACUGCACGGGCUUCUGUGUCCUUUUACAUUCUGCCAGGAUCUUUCACAGCCACAGGGGAGAAGAGCAAGCUUAAACAGUUCGUUAGGUGAUUCUGCAGCCACCAGCUGAACCCAGAAAGGAAGACAUUCAGUGAGAUAAGUACCUGACACACAUGGUUGUCACCGUCUCCCACCCCCGAGUUUCAGUCACAAGCAUUGCUAUUAUAAUAUGUGUAGAAAGAUCCAAUUCUGUUUCGUUCAGUGUUAUUGAAAGUUUUUCAAAUUGAGCUCAUGUUGCUCGGUUGGUAGAGUGCUUGCCUAACAUGGAUAAAGCCCCCGGCUUCAUAACUAGCACCCAUGAAACUGGGUGUGGGUGGCAUAGCCUUAUGCUCUCAAAGCUUGGGAAGUGGAGGUGGGAAGAUCAAACACUUAAGUUAAUUGUUUUCUAUAAAGUGAGUUCAAGGCCAGCCUGAGCUGCAUGAGAUCUUGUCUCAAAACAAAACAAAACAAACAAAACAAAACACCACCACCACCACCACCACAACAACAACAGUAACACACUCUAAUAUUAAGUAUCCCUGGGAAUGCUUGGUGCUCUUCUAGAGGACCUAGGUUGCAUUUCUUUUUUUUUUUUUUUAAUUUAUUUAUUUUAUGUAUAUGAGUACACUGUUGCUGUCUUUAGACACACCAGAAGAGGGCACUGGAUCCCAUUACAGAUGGUUGUGAGCCACCAUGUGGUUGCUGGGAAUUGAACUCAGGACUUCUGGAAGAGCAGAGUUUGUGCUCUUAACCACUGAGCCAUCUCUCCAGCCCCGAGGUUGCAUUUCUUGCAUCCAUGUUAAAUGAUCACAGUCACCUGUAUCUCUAGCUCCAGGAGUUAUGAUGGCCUCUUUUGCCCUCAAAGACACUGUCAUAUGCAUAACACACACAUGCGCAUUUGCGAGUGCACACAAGCUCACACACAAAUGUACAGACACAUGCGCAUUCACACACAUAUAUGCAUGCAUGCAUACACAGGUGCACACUUGAACACAGACACCCACAAGUGUCCAAGCACACACACACCCAUACACACACACACACACACACACACACACACACACACACAAAUAAAAAGAAAAAGGAAGUCUCACUAGAAGUAGGAUCAUUUUGUGGCUAAUGCACUAAUAGAUUUAUCUCUUCAUCCUUCCUCCAGCUUUAUUCAGUUUUGUGGGGUUCUCUCCUUCCUUGAGUUGUGCUUUAGUAAGAAGUACAUUGUACCAAGAUAUAUUAGUCCAAUAUAAUCUACACACACACACACACACACACACACACACACAGCAUAAAUAAAACUCCUGGAAAAUUUUAGUGUUCCCACCCUUAAGUUUUUAAAGAACUAAACUUUUCUCUUCUGGCUUAUUCAGUAAAAUGUUGUUUAAGACACAAUACAAGGUGGUUCUGAUGGUGCAGGCCUGUCAUUCCAGUUGCUUGGGAAACUGAGGUAGGAAGACUGCAAGUUCGAGGUCUGCCUGGACUGUGCUGUGAGUUCAAGGACAGCCUCUACCACUUAUCGGGUCCCUGACUGAACACACAAAAGCAGGGCUGAAACAUAGCUCAGUUUUCCUUUUAAACAUUUUUUUAAAAACUGAAUAUUUUCUCUUUGUGCGUGAGUGCUUUGCCUACAUGUGUGUCUGUGCACCUCAUGUGUACCUGGUAUUCUCAGAGACCAGAAGAGGAUAUAGAACCCCUUGACACUAGAGUGAUGGAUACAUGGCUGUUAGCCACAUGUAGGUGCUGGGAAUUGAACCCUGGUCCCAUGGAAGGACCAUCCCCAGUCCACUGAGAAUAUCUUCAUAUAUUCGUGUGCUUCCGCAAAUGAAAAUUCCUCCAUUGAUCUAAAUUAUUUCUAUGCUUUUCCAAGAAGUCCCAUGAACUCAGAAAGUGCCCUGGGCCUUCCACUCUUCAGUCUUCU
rnacentral:lncRNA from 1 species